GUACUUUCUUCCGCAGUGCAUAUCCUACCAUUGGAACAAUUCAGAGAUUAGCAUGGUCCCUGCGCAAGGAUGGCACAUAAAUGCGGAAGUGCUCUGUAUUUAA
ensembl:snRNA U6 U6 spliceosomal RNA